rnacentral:rRNA from 1 species
UACUAGAGCAAAGGAUAGACAGCGCCCGCGGAGCUCGCUCCCGGGGCCACCCUACUCCGGUAGGGUUUAGAGUCGUCGGGCCUCUCGGAGAAGCUCGGUCCUGAACUCCACCCUUGAAUAAACUACCUUUGUUGCUUUGGCGGGCCGCCUCGUGCCAGCGGCUUCGGCUGUUGAGUGCCCGCCAGAGGACCACAACUCUUGUUUUUAGUGAUGUCUGAGUACUAUAUAAUAGUUAAAACUUUCAACAACGGAUCUCUUGGUUCUGGCAUCGAUGAAGAACGCAGCGAAAUGCGAUAAGUAAUGUGAAUUGCAGAAUUCAGUGAAUCAUCGAAUCUUUGAACGCACAUUGCGCCCUCUGGUAUUCCGGGGGGCAUGCCUGUUCGAGCGUCAUUAUAACCACUCAAGCUCUCGCUUGGUAUUGGGGUUCGCGGUUUCGCGGCUCCUAAAAUCAGUGGCGGUGCCUAUCGGCUCUACGCGUAGUAAUACUCCUCGCGAUUGAGUCCGGUAGGUCUACUUGCCAGCAACCCCUAAUUUUUUAAGGUUGACCUCGGAUCAGGUAGGGAUACCCGCUGAACUUAAGCAUAUCAAUAAGCGGAGGAAAAGAAACCAACAGGGAUUACCUCAGUAACGGCGAGUGAAGCGGUAACAGCUCAAAUUUGAAAGCUGGCUCUUUUAGGGUCCGCGUUGUAAUUUGUAGAAGAUGCUUCGGGUG